rnacentral:hammerhead_ribozyme from 1 species
AUCCAGCUGACGAAUCCUAAAUAGGACGAAACAAUCGUCCUGGAU